CUACGGGUGGCAGCAGUGGGGAAUAUUGCGCAAUGGGGGGAAACCCUGACGCAGCGACGCCACGUGAGGGAUGAAGGCUUUCGGGUCGUAAACCUCUGUCAGGAGGGAAGAACCGCUUGAAGUCAAAUAGGCUUCAGGCCUGACGGUACCUCCAGAGGAAGCACCGGCUAACUCCGUGCCAGCAGCCGCGGUAACACGGAGGGUGCGAGCGUUAAUCGGAAUCACUGGGCGUAAAGCGUGCGUAGGCGGCUUUGCAAGUCAGGGGUGUAAGCCCUCGGCUCAACCGAGGAAUUGCCUUUGAAACUGCAUGGCUUGAGUAUCGGAGAGGCAGGCGGAAUUCCGGGUGUAGGAGUGAAAUCCGUAGAUAUCCGGAGGAACACCAGUGGCGAAGGCGGCCUGCUGGACGAAUACUGACGCUGAGGUACGAAAGCGUGGGGAGCAAACAGGAUUAGAUACCCGGGUAGUC
rnacentral:rRNA from 1 species